GGUACGACUCUCGACAACGGAUAUCUCAGCUCUCGCAUCGAUGAAGAACGUAGCGAAAUGCGAUACGUGGUGCGAAUUGCAGAAUCCCGCGAACCAUCGAGUCUUCGAACGCAAGUUGCGCCCGAGGCCAUCCGGCCGAGGGCACGCCUGCCUGGGCGCCAACC
rnacentral:rRNA from 1 species